GUGCCAGCAGCCGCGGUAAGACGAACCGAGCGAACGUUGUUCGGAAUCACUGGGCUUAAAGGGCGCGUAGGCGGGCUGUCAAGUCUGGGGUGAAAUCCCACGGCUCAACCGUGGAACUGCCUUAGAUACUGACGGCCUCGAGGGAGAUAGGGGCGAGCGGAACUGUGAGUGGAGCGGUGAAAUGCGUUGAUAUUCACAGGAACUCCGGUGGCGAAGGCGGCUCGCUGGAUCUUUUCUGACGCUGAGGCGCGAAAGCUAGGGGAGCAAACGGGAUUAGAAACCCCCGUAGUCC
rnacentral:rRNA from 1 species